GCCCGGAUGGCGAAACAGGCAGACGCAGCGGACUUAAAAUCCGCCGAUCCUGAAAAGGGUCAUGCGGGUUCGAUCCCCGCUCCGGGCA
rnacentral:tRNA from 1 species